GACAGAGGUGCCGAGCGUUAGGCGGAAUCACUGGGCUUAAAGCGUGUGUAGGCGGCCCGUUAAGUGCCUCGUGAAAUCCCCCGGCUCAACCGGGGAACUGCUGGGUAUACUGGCGAUCUUGAGCAAUCUAGGGGCAGAUGGAACAAGUGGUGGAGCGGUGAAAUGCGUAGAUAUCACUUGGAACGCCAAAGGUGAAGACAGUCUGCUGGGGAUUUGCUGACGCUGAGACACGAAAGCCAGGGGAGCGAACGGG
rnacentral:rRNA from 1 species